AUCGUAACCCUGGAGUCCUGCAAUAUGUUGCCUCAGAGAUAAGCCUCUCCUCAGGGAAUCGUAGAAACAAGGGUGGAAAGCACUUCAAGAGAAAGGCAAGUGAUACUGGAAAGUUAAGAGGGAAAGGUGCAAAAGACAUUGAAGAGCACAAUAUUCAGAGAGAAUGGAAAAGUCACAAGGGAACAACCCCUAGAAGAAGAGCUUCAGCAUCUAGCCCGAUAAAAUUGCCAGCUUCCUGAAUUUUGCUCUGCCACUUAUUUUAUUGUCUCCAGUGGAUUUCUGACUGAGGUGUCCAGCCACUGUCCUGAUGGGGCUGAUAGGCAACAUUACCUCCAGCCAGGAUUGAUCCUUCCUUGCAUUGGGUUUAAAAGCAGAUCUUGUCCUUCCUCCUCCCUACCCUCACCUGUGUACAGGCUUCCAUGCUCCCACAUGCUUUCACUGUGGCAUAAAUAAGGUUUUAUGUGGUGUGUAAAUAAGGAAAUCCCUAGAAGCAAAAGAGCACUUUAGAAGUUUGGCUUGCGUGAUGGCAAAAUGAUGACAUGUAACUUCAACACUAAUGAAGGCCGUAUGUGUGCAACGUGUUGAGAAAUGGGUGAAACAUAACACAGGGGAAGAAGAGAUGGAAUGUCAUCAUAUGUUUUCCAUUUGCAUCCACAUUAGAAAAAAAAAAAAGAUACAGUAUUUCUACUCUUUCCAAGGCGAUGUGAUGUAUGUGUCUGGUUCCAUUAUUAAAGAGAGAUCAAAAUGAUU
rnacentral:lncRNA from 7 species